AAGGUUCUGCCUCCAUUGGAUAUGGGACGAGCUCACUCGGCAACCCUUGUGGAUUCUCCUUCUUCUAGAGGGGAAUUAUAGUUAUGGAUUUAUUGUCCCGCUGCAGCACUUCCACCACCACCAGCAGCAGCACCAGCAGCAACAGCAGCUUUCUGACUCUCUUCGGUGACGGGUAUUCUUGGGUGGAUAAUACGGAUUACGUUGUUAUUGCUUAAGAAUACGCGUAGUCGAGGAGAGUACCGGCGGCGGGCAGGCAGGCAGGCAGGCAGCGCGACCGCCCCCAGCCCACCAGCUGGCUCCCAACCUCCUCUAGUUGCCAAGCCGUACAGCUUAAGUCUCCUGGACUAGCCCGUCUCCCUUCCUCGCCAUGUCAAACGACCCACGGAAGGCUGUAGAUCUUCAGGCUCUGGGGACGACCUAACAUCAGCAGCUUCUGGGGGUGCUGCUACAAGGUGAGCCUCGGACCUCGCCGGCGGUCUGUGCUCCCGGACGUCGGCCCCGCGAUGGCAGACGGAGCGAUGCCCGGAGCCCCGCUUCCCCCGGCCGCUGCACUGGGCGUUGGCCGCGGCCGGAGCCGCCCGCGCACCGCGGGACACCCAGACACCGGACCCAGCUCGGCUUGCUGGUGGAGACGCUGCUGGGGCCGGCUUCGCCCUGCUUGUGGCUGCCUGCCUGUCUUAUUCUUCUGAGUUAUGCCCCAGCCCGCUCCUGUCCUGUCGUGCUGUCGCCUCCGGGCUGCGUCGGGUUUUCAAUUAUCACAAUAUACAGUGCAGAUGCUAUGUAAAACAGCUAGCGUGACUCGAGCAGGCUGAGCUCAGUAGAAAUACGGUUAAAUAAAAAGGACUGCUAUAAUACCAGGAGGCUGAUUGGAACCACAAGAUAGCAGUGUCAUAUCCUGUGGCUUUUAUGUUGGUAGAUGUAGAUUUUAGCCAUUAGAGUCUAGCCAUCCAACAGAUAACAACCAGAGGAAAUGGAUCUGGGGAUCUUCAAUUGUGAAUAACUGAUACACUUUUGCCAAUAAAUGGAGGACCUGGUAAACUGCCAGAAGAAAAAAAAAAACCUUUUGAGAUGCCUACAAAUAUAAUCAGGCACGUAAUAUGUGGCAGCUUCUGCCCAUGUGUAACUUAAACUCCCUGAUUACUCCCAAUACAUUUAAAAUGGUACCUCGAGAGAGCUCUGACCUCAGGGAACCAACGCGUGGUUACGUUGUCAACCCCAAAUUCAGGCAAGGAAAUAAAUACCAAGUGUAGGUCUCAACUCACACAAACAGUAACAAACCCGAGAUCAGGUAUCGUGCUAUUCAAGUGGGGGGGGGGGGGGGGAGGUAAAAUGCUACGACAAAAAAAGGGAGAAAUAAGAAUAAAACACGAUAAUGUAAAACGUGCCUGUUAUUAACUUCUAGAAAAGCUCAGCAGCCAGAAUUUUAGAAUGUGACAUGCAGACAAAUGUAAAGAGAGCAACACGUUGUGUUUUUCUCCAGAGCAAAAUGAAAUAGGCAUAUGGAGCAAAUUAUAAUAUUUAGUUCUUUCAGGGCAAAUUCUAGUUGAGGAUCAUGAAGUAAUUUGAAAAUAUUAAUGAAUUAGCCUCACAGCUAGCUGUCAGGUAGAUACUAAUGAUAAUUAUUACUAUAAAUAAAUCUUAUAAUUCUUGCUGCAAAGAAAUGAAAGAUGAGGCAUAGAGGCUUCACGUAUGUCUCCAAAGUCUCUGUUUUACUACUGUAACCAUCCUUCUAUAGAACUAUUAUAUAGCAAGUUUAUCCUUUUCCAAAUGCUGUAUGUGAUAUACUAUUCAGUUUAUGAGCUCUAAAAACCAACCAGCUGAGCUUCCUUAUGAAACAGAGCCUGUGAACAUCUCCAUUUGCAUUUGAAUUCUCAAGCAGCGACAAUCCUGCUGAAAAAAAAAUAUAAAGGAAAAAGGAAUCAUGAAAAUCAGUAGAAAAUCUGUCAAGGCCCCAUCUGUGACUGGGUAUCAGAAUAUCGCUAAGAAGCUCUGAGGAACAAAGUUCAUUCCAAGUCUAACGCAUAGUGCUUUUUGGUCGAUGAAAUUAAUUCAAGCAGGGUGAAAUGAGGGCACACACCAUGAAAAGCUCCGUUCCUCCACUGAGGAGGGAAGGCAAGCAGCACCUCCGCUGCCUGCGUGUGAUCUUGGGUUUGGAACAUGUGGCCAUGCUUAAAUACUAAAGGUUUUACAUGGCAAAAUAUUCAGUGUGCUCACGUCUCCUUUUGAUAGCCGCGUAUACCUGCUGCUUCUCUGAGGAGGGUCAGGGAAUGAGGGAUCUCUGGUUCUGACAAGGACUUCGAUUGUGUGUGCUCGUUGCAGGAAGCAAGCUUUCACAGCCAGCUACCUGAAGCAGUAUGGAAACAAAAUGAUAGAUUCCACCCUGGCCUUGAAAAUACCCCUACAAACAGGUUUACUUCCUUCUGAAUGGGAAUAUAUAAAGGUUAGGGACACUUAUUUUUAGGACAUUUAUAUAACUCCUCUUCAGGAUCUGAAUUCCUAAGAGUCUUGGCCUUAGCUUUUUGCUCUCACACAUGCAAUAAUUGGAAUUAACCACAGGAAAUAGGAGAACCACAGCAUUAACACCAUUCUAACGCACCAUAUUAUUUUUCUUUCCCUUUUUUUAACUGUUAGAGUAUGCAAAUGUUGAGUUAACUGGUCCCCAUGUUGUUAUUGAAUUGCUUUCACUAUGGCAAAUAAAUAUUCAUAAAGAAA